GCAGAUAUGGUGGAACGGUAGACACAGUAGCUUGAGGGGCUACCGCCUGUAUCGGGUGUGCGAGUUCAAAUCUCGCUAUCUGCACCA
rnacentral:tRNA from 1 species